CAUCUACAACAAAAAGCCAUUUCAUAUCAUGACCAUCUUUCUAAUAACCUGUAGGACCUUUCUUUAGCCCUAAAACAGCAGCCAUGUGAUGAGGCAUUGAUUCAGUGAGGUGGCGAUUGGUCUCCUGGGGUAUCUGGUACCAUAAUGUCAACAGCAGGUCCUGUGGUUCCUGUACAUUGUGGGGUGGUGGUGAUGUAGCACAAAGCCAAUUUUCAUGUCAGGUGAAUUUGGAGGAAAGGCAUUAACAGAAAUUCACCAUCAUGUUCCUCGAACCAUUCUUUGAUGAAUCUGACAGUGUAGCUUGGCACAUUAUCCUGUGGCACAUUAUCUACAGUUGCCAUGAAUGAGUGCACUUGGAAUACAAUGAUGUUCAGAUACCUGACAGCUGUGGCUUAUCGGUGUGUAUCUAUGUAUGUAUGUAUGUAUGUACAUGUAUCUGUCUGUCUGUCUUUCUUAAUUCUACUGCAAUUCUAAUAUUUUUGACUUUCCGAAUUCCCCUUCUCACAGUGGUUAGUUCGGUUCUACUGUGUGACUGGAAAGUGUCUCUCUUCAUUACAGACAUUCACUCCUCAUCAGUCCAGGACAGAAGUGGAGGGAUUUGCCACCUAGAGUGAGUGACCUCCCUCACAUUUAAGAAGGAAGGAGCGAAAGGAGGAUUACUGAGAUACAAUGGGAUGUAAGCAAGAUGAUUCAGCUCUGACUUCUGCAGCGUUCUGGCAGUUCUUGGGACUGAGAUGUCACGUCGUGUCUUGCUCUUCCUCCCCCUUUCCUUCAUUCCACUAACCUCCCACACUUCGGGCUGUCCGGCAUCCUGCAUUUCUCCGUUUACCAUCCCUCCAUCUGUCCACUCCAUCCACAUCUAGUAUCUCCAUACUGAUGAAAACCACAGCAAACACCCGCCCCGCUGAAAAAAUCGAUCAAUCGGGAGGGAUGAUCAAAUCAGCAGAGAGUGCAGAUGUGGCACUCCAUCUACAGCUGGCCAGAUGCCUAGAGAAAUUCCAGAGGGAAUGCAUGGCGAAUUAGCCUUCUGGGUCGGCCUGCAAAUUGAUGACACGACUGAACAGCUCUAUUCUGUCAAAAGGAAUCUCUCAUUUAGACAUGCAGAACAACCAAACACCUUUUGUACAUUGCAAAUACAAAAUGGAGAAAAUGUUUCUUGUUUAGUUGAUACAAACUGCCUCAAACUAAAUGCUAAUAUAUUUCAAAGAUUCAGUGCCAUGAACCAUGCAAACUUUGACAAGUGCAUUAACUAGUUCUUUUCCCAUGCUGGUAGCAACGGCACAUUUUAUUGUCAGCAAGUACUCCAGUAUGCUGUGUUGUUGUGAAUUUGACAAAACUUUGAACUUAAAAUUUAAUGGUAUUAUUUGAAGUAUUCUGCAGUUUCUGAUAAAAGCAUGGAUUGUCAUAGGCAGACAGAACA
ensembl:lncRNA